rnacentral:misc_RNA from 1 species
GAUGAAGAACGUAGCAAAAUGCGAUAAGUAAUGUGAAUUGCAGAAUUCAGUGAAUCAUCGAAUCUUUGAACGCACAUUGCGCCCGCUGGUAUUCCGGCGGGCAUGCCUGUUCGAGCGUCAUUUCAACCCUCAAGCCCCCCGGGUUUGGUGUUGGGGAUCGGCUCUGCCUCACGGCGGUGCCGCCCCCGAAAUACAUUGGCGGUCUCGCUGCAGCCUCCAUUGCGUAGUAGCUAACACCUCGCAACUGGAACGCGGCGCGGCCAUGCCGUAAAACCCCAACUUCUGAAUGUUGACCUCGGAUCAGGUAGGAAUACCCGCUGAACUUAAGCAUAUCAAUAAGCGAGGA